rnacentral:rRNA from 1 species
GCGGACGGGUGAGUAAUGCCUAGGAAUCUGCCUGGUAGUGGGGGAUAACGUUCGGAAACGGACGCUAAUACCGCAUACGUCCUACGGGAGAAAGCAGGGGACCUUCGGGCCUUGCGCUAUCAGAUGAGCCUAGGUCGGAUUAGCUAGUUGGUGAGGUAAUGGCUCACCAAGGCGACGAUCCGUAACUGGUCUGAGAGGAUGAUCAGUCACACUGGAACUGAGACACGGUCCAGACUCCUACGGGAGGCAGCAGUGGGGAAUAUUGGACAAUGGGCGAAAGCCUGAUCCAGCCAUGCCGCGUGUGUGAAGAAGGUCUUCGGAUUGUAAAGCACUUUAAGUUGGGAGGAAGGGUUGUAGAUUAAUACUCUGCAAUUUUGACGUUACCGACAGAAUAAGCACCGGCUAACUCUGUGCCAGCAGCCGCGGUAAUACAGAGGGUGCAAGCGUUAAUCGGAAUUACUGGGCGUAAAGCGCGCGUAGGUGGUUCGUUAAGUUGGAUGUGAAAGCCCCGGGCUCAACCUGGGAACUGCAUUCAAAACUGACGAGCUAGAGUAUGGUAGAGGGUGGGUGGAAUUUCCUGUGUAGCGGUGAAAUGCGUAGAUAUAGGAAGGAACACCAGUGGCGAAGGCGACCACCUGGACUGAUACUGACACUGAGGUGCGAAAGCGUGGGGAGCAAACAGGAUUAGAUACCCCUGGUAGUCCACGCCGUAAACGAUGUCAACUAGCC